AUUGAACGCUGGCGGCAGGCUUAACACAUGCAAGUCGAGCGGAGUGAUGGUGCUUGCACUAUCACUUCGCGGCGGACGGGUGAGUAAUGCUUAGGAAUCUGCCUAUUAGUGGGGGACAACAUCUCGAAAGGGAUGCUAAUACCGCAUACGUCCUACGGGAGAAAGCAGGGGAUCACUUGUGACCUUGCGCUAAUAGAUGAGCCUAAGCCGGAUUAGCUAGUUGGUGGGGUAAAGGCCUACCAAGGCGAGGAUCUGUAGCGGGUCUGAGAGGAUGAUCCGCCAGUCUGGGACUGAGACACGGCCCAGACUCCGACGGGAGGCAGCAGUGGGGAAUAUUGGACAAUGGGGGGAACCCUGAUCCAGCCAGGCCGCGUGUGUGAAGAAGGCCUUAUGGUUGUAAAGCACUUUAAGCGAGGAGGAUGCUCUUUUGGUUAAUACCCAAGAUGAGUGGACGUUACUCGCAGAAUAAGCACCGGCUAACUCUUUGCCAGCCGCCGCCGUAA
rnacentral:rRNA from 1 species